rnacentral:tRNA from 1 species
UUUAGUUUUUGCUAUUUUGGGUUUCGACCCCAUAAAAAGAUGAUUCAUCAUCUAAAAC